AGAAAAAAAACUGAUAAAUAUCUGCGUCAGAAUAAUUCAUAGUUAAUAAAAAUGUAUUCAUUUUCAAUUGUGCAUGUAACUGUGAUUCUAGAUCAUGUUUGCCCUCUCAAAGAUCAAACUAAUUUGGGUUAAGUUGAAAUAUAAUAUCAUUGAAAAUGUUGCACAAUCCUGAAGUAAAUAGGUGGGAAAUUGACCAGUUCUUGCAUAAUUUACCAUAAUUUGGCAACUUCCACAAAUGCAAUUAUGGAUAGCUCCUUAACAGAUUGUGUAGUACAGGAAUUUACAGUAUUACAAAAUAUCCUAGUGGCUGCAUUUAGUGUUGAUUGAGUAAAAUAUUGGUAAAAUGUAUACACUUUAUUUUGCAGUGUCUUUGUUACAGUGUAAUUAUGCAGCAGUAUGCUUAAGGACUGAGCAAUACUAACAACGUGAUUACUAGUUAGGGUUAAGAGUUACACUUUAUAUAUGUACAGAAUAUGAACUUACUUACCUAAGAACGUCCUGGAUAAUAUAAGGAAACGACAUGGGUUAUGGGUAGGUUUUGGUACAUGUUCAGGGUAAUAACCCAGUUAUUGUAAUUAUUAUGACAAGUAUAUAGUACUGUGUAUGUACAUGCGGGUUCUUGCAUGCAAUUAUGCAAGAAUAAAUAAUAAAUGUAUGAUUACUAUUAGUGUAAGUACAUGUAACUUGUGUUUCAAAGACACUGCAAUAAAGUUUAACCAAGUUUCAAAGCAUUAAUAAAGCCCUAGUCUAAUCGAGCUGUUUUGACUUUGAUAUAACCAGGACAUAAUUUUUUGAUAUCAACAAUUCAAUUUUCACUUAAAAGUGGGGUAUGAUUUUUUUCAAAAAUGCUUCAGAAAACUGAGUCGGGUACCAAAACAAACAUGUAGCCAAUCAGCAGUAAGGGGUGUGUCUACUCAUGAUGUGGACGAGAGAGCGAUCAGUGCACAGGACAGACGUUAGCAGAGCCGAGUGUAAUGACAGAAAGAUAGAGAUGGCAGAUAAAAACAAAAGAGAACAUCUGCGGAACAAAAGAGGUCUUACUAUAAGGAAAUAAGUAGGACCCAUGUAAAUAUCGGAUCAGCUUUCCAGCGAUGGAGAGAAGGAGCCGAGGUUGCUUUGUUUCUUCUUGAUAGAACUAAUUGUUGCCUGGGUUGCGUACAUAUGUGUGGGGCGGAGCUUUCAAAAUAGGGGCGGGACCCUUUUGGGGUAGGGCCUGUUUGUUUUGGUGAUUUGAAAUAUCUAUAUUGGCUACCAGAAAUCACUUACCCCACCUUUAAAUUUGAAUUAUUGGUAUCAGGAAUGACAUCUUCCUUCACAGACAUCAAAUUAUUGAUAUUAGGAAUUACAUUUAGUGAAAAACGUAAUUCUUGAUAUUUGUAAAAGCAUUUUGACAAGUUGACCUUUGCAAGGUUUUUUUUGUAAUAUUCAAGCAUACAGCUGUAUUCAGUUUGCAUGAAAGAUCAGCUAUUUCAGCGCAUGUGAAAGAGUGGUAAAACACUGACCUUUAGGUUACAAAAUUUGAGCACUCGUUGCUAUGAUGCGGUUAAACUUGGUUUGACAUUUUUUUGUUGUUGAUUGUUUUGUUGUUGUUGUUGUCAUGGUGCACAAUGUAGUCAUGUUUUAAAAGUCCUUUCUAGAUUAAUCUAGAUUUUAAUUAUAAUUGUCAUGACAGAUAAAUAUCGUACUACUGAUAGUGUUAUUAAUGAAAGUGUACUGACCAACUACUUAUAUUGCGCAUUAGACAGAUGAACAAAAAAGGCCACUCCAAAUGAAAACAACACGUCCGGUUGCUGCACAUUGCAGAAUGUCUGUGGUUUCAAUGAAAAGUGAACAACAUGAUGCACAAAAUUUUUCCUUUUUACUUCUUAUUAAGUCAAGGUGAAAUGGUUAAUGAGCCAAGACGAGCAUCAAUGAGUCACUGAAAGCAUUUUAGAUUAACAACACCAGCACAAAAAAAAACAAAAAAAAAAAAAAACACUGCUAUAUAUAUAUUGCCAGACACACUGGGUUCUUAUUUUAUAUACCAAAGCGACAUUUUACACACCUACACACCUCUUCACAUACACGCCACAAUCUCUUACAUAUCAAGGUUGCAAAUUAUUCUUUCAUUUUCAUUCUUAUCAGAAAAUAACAGCUUGCAGGAAGCCUGGUAAUUAAUUUAAAAUUCAACAAGUAGCAAAAUGUCAUCCCCAGUAUUAUUGGCUUCAUGUGCCAUGAGAAAGAUGGAGAAUUAAACUUAAAAAGAGAGAUAGAAUAGAAUAGAAUAGAAUAGAAUAGAAUAGAAUAGAAUAGAAAUAGUUAUAAUAAUAGUCCACAGAGAAGGUUUCAUAUCUAGCUUUUAUCUUAACACAUAAGUGUUGUAGGAUACAUUAAUUCAGUGGGAUGUAGGUAAUCUGCUACCUCUGUGACCAGGAUUGUUUCCUUUGCUAUUUAUUAUGAUAUGUUUUUGAUAUUAAAGGCAAAAUGUCACCUUUGCUGUUAAACUUGAUUAAACGUGUUUUUUUUUUUUUAGCUUACAGGGGAAAAAAGGUUUUGUAAAAUGUACCUGGAUUGGGUUUAUAAUGGAUUUAAGCCUUAGCACUGUUUUUUUUUGUUUUUUUUUUUGUUUUUUUUUUAAGCAUUCCAACAACUUUUACUUCAGAUCUUGGAGAUUAUUAAUAUUUGUAGGCAGAGCCUUUACAUCUGUUCAUAUGCUGCACAUAAGGCAUGCUUUUUACAUUGAAAUCUCUUUGAAAGAUGCAUUUUUCAGUAAAAACAACAGCAACAACAACAACAAUUGCAGAUAAUGUUCAGAUCAGUUCAUUUCACAUCUAGCUACUGCAGCUCUCUCAUCACAAACUGAAUAUCCUCUAUAUCCGAUCGAGUUCAUAUUCAGUGCAAUUGCUAAACUUGUUUUCAACCUAUGGACAGUCUUUUCACUUGCUGCCAGUCUUUGCUCAAAUUCAAUUCAAGACACCGUUGGCGUUUUCCAAAGCUGCAGGUCUCCACAUGAAGGGUUUUGCAGCUCCUCAAGUCUUGCUCCUCAGUGCAAGACCUGUGAGAAAAGCAAACAGCACUACCACAGACAAAUAAAAACCUGAGUUUCACCGCACCGUAAUGCCUUAUAGCUGCACUUGAACUAUCAAUAUCUUGUUCUUGCUUUUAAGAAAAGCAUCAUAGUAUUGCUCAUAUGCAUGGACUGUAUAUCCCUAAUCUUAAAUAUAACAUUUUGAUGCAUAACUCAUCUUGUUCCAUUUCUAAUACAGACAUGAAUGAUACCUCAAAUUAUGUGGCUUGCAAUGUCUAAUUUGUAAAUUAAUCACUCUUCUAAGUCAGAUCUUUUCAGUGAAUUGUUUGAACCUCAAAAAAAAAAAAAAGUAGAGGUGGGCAAUUAUUUUAAUCUAGAUUAAUCUCA